CGGCAUUUUCCCCCAGAAAACAAGCGCGUAACAAAAACACUGGACACUUAGUUUAUCACAUAACUUUAAAUAUUUACGUUCAACAUAUUUCUUUUUUGUUUCGAACAAAAAAGUGCAGCUGAUGCACAUUCUGGAAAUAUAGAUAAAUAUGUGCUCAGAGCAGAGAAAUGGAAAUGAUUAGCGACUAUGUCGUGGACCCCUUUC
rnacentral:lncRNA from 1 species